CCUAUUUUGUCGCAGCUUCCUGGACAAUGGAGUAAAAGCAGCCUUACAGAAUGUGCAGGUGACAUCAAGUUGGGCACAAUUACCAACACCUCUGAAACAAGAAUAGAAUAUUAAGGGACACUAAAAACUUAGUCCCCCACAUGCAUCUCAGUUCUAAGGAGGAGAAAGGGAAAAAACCACCCUAUAAAGUGCCUGUGUUACCUGCCGCCACUUGCCGUCACCUGAAUGUCCCAAGAACACGCUCUCAACCCACAGCAUCUGUGCCCUCCAGCCUGAUCCUCUCACCUUUCCCAGCUCAGUGAGCAGUAUCGUCAUCUACCCCGAGGAGCAAGCCAGAACCUCACGGGCAUCUUAGAGUCCACCCUGCCCCUCAGCCCCAUGUGCAAGUCAGCGUGGAGCCAUGUCAGUUUUACCUCCCAGGUGUCUCUUCAGUCCAUCCACUUCUCUCUGCUUUCGCCGCCCUAGUCCAGCUACCGUCAUCGUGGCAGGUGUAGCACACAGGUGCCGCUGUAGCUCCUGAAGACACGAUGAUGAGAAAAACAGGCGUGGUCCCCAACCUCGCAGAGCCUCCUUUCCUGAGGGGAAGAUGCAGAUGUGGGAAACCAGGGAAAGCGGAGAAAUGGCAUCUCAACCAUUCUGUGGAGGAGAAGAGAGGGAAGUUCACUGGACAAAGGACUGCUGGAAGAAGGCAGAAGGGGCACGGACUCCACGUGGAGGAGCAGCAUCUCGGACGCC
rnacentral:lncRNA from 1 species